UACGUAGGGGGCAAGCGUUGUCCGGAUUUACUGGGCGUAAAGCGCGCGCAGGCGGCACAUUAAGUCAGGUGUGAAAUAUCCCGGCUCAACCGGGAGGGUGCACUUUAGACUGAUGAGCUUGAGGUCGGUAGAGGGGGGUGGAAUUGCUGGUGUAGCGGUGAAAUGCGCAGAUAUCAGGAGGAACACCAAUUGCGAAGGCAGCUCGCUGGGACGUUACUGACGCUGAGACGCGAAAGCGUGGGGAGCAAACAGG
rnacentral:rRNA from 1 species